rnacentral:rRNA from 1 species
AACGAACGCUGGCGGCGCGCCUAAUACAUGCAAGUCGAGCGAGAAGACGUAGCAAUACGUUUGUAAAGCGGCGAACGGGUGAGGAAUACAUGGGUAACCUACCCUCGAGUGGGGAAUAACUAGCCGAAAGGUUAGCUAAUACCGCGUACGCUCCUUGGACUUCGGUUCAGGGAGGAAAGCGAUACCGUGGGUAUCGCGCUCUUGGAUGGGCUCAUGUCCUAUCAGCUUGUUGGUGAGGUGAUGGCCUACCAAGGCGACGACGGGUAGCCGGCCUGAGAGGGCGACCGGCCACACUGGGACUGAGACACGGCCCAGACUCCUACGGGAGGCAGCAGUGGGGAAUCUUGCGCAAUGGGCGAAAGCCUGACGCAGCGACGCCGCGUGAGGGAUGACGG